AUGUCGAAGACGACGAGCUUGAGGUCCGAGUGCCGCUUCUUGGCCGCGUCCGACGCCGCCUGCAGCUUGGCGUUGAAGGUGAGGGAGUCGUUGUUGAGCCGCUCCACGCAGCCGCCCCCGCCGCCGCCGCCGAAGAGGGUGACGGACGCCGGCAGGCACCCCAUGGGCGGCAGCGACGUCACCCCGAUCCGCCGCGCUCCCAGCCCGUACAGCCUCUGCAUGCAUGCAACCGUUUUAGUUCAUGGAUGCCAUUCAUUCAGUCACUCGUCACACUCCAUAGUAGUACCAGUACAGUACGUAGUACGUACGAAGUGA
rnacentral:rRNA from 1 species